rnacentral:tRNA from 1 species
AGGGGUGUAGCUCAGUUGGUAGAGCAGCGGAUUCCAAAUCCGCCGGUCGCGGGUUCGAAUCCUGCCGCCCCUGCCA